UCCUUCCCGCCCCCGCUUUUCGCGCUUGGAGGAAGUGAGGGCGGGGAGUCUGAGCGCGCCCGCCAGCAGUCGGGUAAGGAUGGGGGAAGGGCACGCGCGGGAAAUAGACUGCAGGGUCUUGAGGCGCCGCGCCCCAGAGUUUAACGCAACGAACUUCAGAUACCGCAGAGAGGGUGCCUGGGCAUUACCUCCCAGAGCCGGAGAUGAAAUCCCCUUUUAUCUGGUCCUCCGGCUAACGUCCACAAAGGCGGAUCUCAUCUACCCCCUCCCUCGCCACUCGCCUCGCUUUUUGUUUUUCAACUGGACGGCGUCAGUCCCAGCCCUCUCUAGCUAGAGGCCUUCCGCGCCCCUCCGGCUCGUUUCCCCCCGGUUUUCCCGAACGUCGCCGGACGCCUCGGCGCGGCCCACUCACCAUGAUGGCUACGGGUUAGGAAGCAAAGGCAACAGGAGCAGACACCGGGUCCUGGUUACCGUCCCCGACAAGCUAAGAGUCGAGGCAGUGACUUUCACCUGAUAAUGUGGAGGAUUCGAGCUUCAGAAAAUCGGGAUGAUUUAUUAUGAUGACUUGUUGUCGAAACUCAGAAUGUGGAGGAAAUGGCUGGAGUUCUAGAGACUAUCUAUGACAACAAGCAACCUUAAACCAUAUUCUAAGGAUGGAGAAAAAUAGAUCUAAGUCCCUGAUGACAUUGUGGAGCAGCCACACAAACCCUGGAUUGCCUACCCAGGAUUUCUCAUUAUGAGAGAAAAUAAAACAAUUUAUUUCACCA